rnacentral:tRNA from 1 species
AGGGAUGGAGCUCAUUGGUAGAGCACUUGUCCAUAUAGUUAAGGUCCUGGGUUCAAUUCCCAGCAUCUA